UCCCUGGUGGCUCAGACGGUAAAGCAUCUGCCUGCAAUGCAGGAGACCUGGGCUCGACCCCUGGGUGGGGAA
rnacentral:tRNA from 1 species